AUUGAACGCUGGCGGCAGGCUUAACACAUGCAAGUCGAGCGGGGUGAUGGUGCUUGCACUAUCACUUAGCGGCGGACGGGUGAGUAAUGCUUAGGAAUCUGCCUAUUAGCGGGGGACAACAUCUCGAAAGGGAUGCUAAUACCGCAUACGUCCUACGGGAGAAAGCAGGGGAUCACUUGUGACCUUGCGCUAAUAGAUGAGCCUAAGUCGGAUUAGCUAGUUGGUGGGGUAAAGGCCUACCAAGGCGACGAUCUGUAGCGGGGCUGAGAGGAUGAUCCGCCACACUGGGACUGAGACACGGCCCAGACUCCUACGGGAGGCAGCAGUGUGGAAUAUUGGACAAUGGGGGGAACCCUGAUCCAGCCAUGCCGCGUGUGUGAAGAAGGCCUUAUGGUUGUAAAGCACUAUAAGCGAGGAGGAGGCUCUUUUGGUUAAUACCCAAGAUGAGUGGACGUUACUCGCAGAAUAAGCACCGGCUAACUCUGUGCCAGCCGCCGCAGUAA
rnacentral:rRNA from 1 species